AGAGAGACAGGCCAGAGAAACAGACAGAGAGAAAUGGAAAAAAUGAUCCUUGACCUGGAUAAUUCAGCCACUGUUUCUUUCUCAGCAAAACAAAAUCAACAUGUAUGUAGCUUUACAAAAGUUUUGUUUGGGUUGUUAAUUUUGGUAAUUACUUAGAAAACCUAUGAAACUUGAUUUUUUAAAAAACUACUCUACAUUUAACAUAAUUGAUAGUGCAUUCUGUUUCAUGGUACAGAAUACACAACUGAUAUAUGAACACACACACAUACACAUGCAAAAAGAAAGACAAAGAAGGGGAUAUACAUUUUUAAAAAUAGCUUCUCAAAUACAUGCAUCUCUUGUUCAUGGUUUUGAAUGUAGGAAAACAUUUCAGUAGUGCAUCCGGAGAUAAAUGAGCCCGUGCGUGUGCACGCACACGUGCGUGCUCUCACACACACACACACACACACACACACACACACACACUAAAAGGCUAAAACAGAAAACUCAAAAAUAUAUGCCAAAUUAUUGUGCAUUGAUGGUUUAAUUCAUUCAUUUUGGAAAGAGCGUGUAUCAGCUCUUCAGUGUUGAUUCUGAAAUGAAUUGCAAGAUGGCCAGAUCUAUGACACUCAAAAAUGGGAAAGCAUUCAAAAAUGCCAGCGUGUACUGGAGAGGAGGCUCAGCCAUUAAGUGUUCUUAGGACUCCAAGCACAUAGGGAGACUCCCAACCACCUGAAACUUCACCCUCUGGGCACAUAACCCCCUCUUCUCACCUCUGUGAUACAUUGUUCAUAUUCAUAAACCCACGUAUGUUUUCAUGCUCUUUGAAUAAAGAAAUCAUUCUUGGAUUGAAGACAGUUAAUUUUUACCAUUGUUACAAGUCUGACUUAACCUAGGUUUGCAAGAGACCCAAGGGAAUAUAUUAACAGAAAAUUAUUUAAAAGCUUGAGAAUGGGAAAAAAGAAUGAAGGGGAAUAUGUGUGAUAUUUAGUACCUGUUAGGCACAAGUUACACUAUCUUAUACGUUCGCAUGUGCUUAGUGGUUUUUUUUUGUUUGUUUUCUGGUCUCCCAGCAACCAUAGAAGGAAAUGGUUUUAUUAUUUUUAAUAAUUUAUGGUUACUAAAAAUAGCUACAAAGAAGUGUAAGUCCAUAUUCAAGGUCAUAGCUGUGAAAAAUAAAGCAUGGGGACUUUAACACAUAGGUAACCAUGUUCCUGGUGUGGGGUUCUCCACUGUGUCAUCCUCUCCCUACCUCUGUGUGCUUCCUAAGCAGGAACCCAUAAAAGAAGAGAUGGGGCUGUGUACAGACUGACAACUCAUCUUUCUGGCAGAUGUUAUCAUGUGCCUGCAGCAUGUUUCCACACGAAUCCUUAAAGUGUUCUGGAAGUAGUCAUAGCAUUGCUCCCUUCAUAGACGAUGCUCCUGAAACCCAGAUCAUCAACAUCAGGACCCAUGAUUCUGCUUAAGGAGGAAGCUGGGAUCUGAAGCCAGAAGUUCUAAUAUGAUUAAAAGACUUCUUCAAAUAAUCCGUAGAAAUAAUGAAUUGUUUUUUUUCUUGCUGUGGCUUCAUUAUGCACAAAUAAAAGAUUUCUCCCUCAACCUUCCCCACAAGCAGACAUGGCAGCAUCUUGUCCAGCUUCAUCAAUCUCCUUUACCCAGGAAAGGAUUCCUGACCCCCUUUCUUCUCUUUCACCUGACAUCGCAUUGCCCACAAUUGAUACCUGAACCCUGUUGUUUUGUGGAUCGAGACCAUCUGCUUUGCCUUCUCCCAGCUCUGUGAGGACACCAUAAGGGGGUGAUUUUGUAUAUUUGAUAUACCCUAGUAAAGUCAGCCAAUGGA